GGCCUCCAUCUUCAUACAUAAAGACGUGGCAUUCCAGGAGCAGACAAAAUUAGUAGAUGCCCAAGGGAGAUAUGUCCUACUAGUAGGUCUUUUUAAUAAUGCCCAAUAUACCUUGGUAUCUGCCUACUUCCCAAAUACUGGGACGGAAAAAUACCUCAGACGUCUUCUGCAAGACAUAGAUAAAUAUAGACAAGGUAGACUGGUGCUCUGUGGUGACUUCAACUUCUUUACCUCCCCAGAAGUCGACACGACUGCCCUACCCCAGGGGACAAGACGGGCGACCGUAAACUCCACG